rnacentral:lncRNA from 1 species
AUGAAAUUGUUUUCUCUUUUUAAGUCACUUAGAUUAUGAUUUCUAGGGGAACAGACUUGCAAUUGUACACAUACAGUACACUACUUUCAAUAGAAUGAAAUCAAUUAGUUCCACAUUUUGAACUUUUUUAAGUGCAUAUUAAUGUUAUUUCAUGUUUGUGUUUCUUAUGCUUUUUCUUAAAUACAAUCUAAUAUUAAUUUCAUUUCUAUAGAUUAUUCUUUUUGUCAUUAUAUGUUCCAAACAUUCAGAAUACAUAGUUGUCAGUGAUAAACCAGCAAAAGUGUUAGAAGUAUGUCAUUGCUAGAAAAAACUCGAUGUGGUGAUAAGAUUAGGGCAUGAUGACAGUGCUACACCAGUGGCCAUGCUAAUCAAUGUUAACAAGUCAAUCAUUAAAAAAAGUGAAAUGAUUAAGCUAAUGUUGCUAGUGGAACUGCUACUGGUGCUAAAAUCACCUAUAUGCUUUGUGAUCCCAUUAUGGAAAGGAUAGAAAAGACACUUGAUAUUUGGAUCAAAGAAAAAACACAAAAGAGAGUUCCUUUAAGUAGUUCAGUGACACUUGAAAAAGCACUGAGAAUAUAUAAACAACUGAGACAGAGUUCUGGCCAAUCUAAAUUUAAACCUAGUAAGGGCCAUAAUCUUCCUAACAUAAAAAUAAUUUAAGAAACAGCUCCAACUUACCAUAAUGUUGCAAAUACUUAUCCAGAAGAUAGAGUAUCUGCCUGAACAGGUAUUCAAUGCAGACAAAAGGCAAUCAUGUCCAACAGGACCUACAUCUCUAAAGCUGAAUACUCUGCACCAGGAUUCUAGACUGCAAAAUAUUGUCACUCUGCUCUUCUGUGCUAAUGCAGCAGCUGACUGUAUGAUGAAACCAAUGCUAAUGUAUUGCUUCCUUAACCCACAUAGCAUGAAAGGUAAAAAAA